UUUUUUUUUUUUUUUUUUUUUAUCCGGGAGACAGUCUUGCUCUGUUGCCCAGGCUGGAAUGCAGUGGUGCGAUCUCAGCUCACUGUAACCUCCACCUCCCAGGUUCAAGCGAUUCUCUUGCUUCAGCCUCCUGAGUAGCUGGGAUUACAGGCAUGCACCACCACUCCCGGCUAAUUUUGUAUUUUUGGUAGAGAUGGGGUUUCUCCAUGUUGGCCAGGCUGGUCUCAAACUCCUGACUUCAGGUGAUCCGCCCACCUCAGCCUCUCAAAGUGCUGGGAUUACAGGUGUGAGUCACUGCUCGGCCUCAGCUCCAGCUUUACUAAACCACAUCGGCUGCUAGACGGGUACGGGCAAAAUUAAGAGGGUACACAAAACACAAGGAUGUGGCCCCAGCGGCACCACCUGAUGCCAGAUUCCCUGCAAAGUAGCCCCAUAACUGGGUCCUCUUGUCCACACCACUCAGGAAGAUCUGCUUGUAUUUAUCUUUCAAGGUGAAAUUGAAAACCUGGGUGGGGAAGUAUCUGAUGACAUUGGACAGGUUACCAUGCCAGAAGGAUAGGACUCCCUGCUCCUUGGGAAUACGGAUCACGAAGUCUAUAAUGCCCCUGUAUUGCUUAUCUGCAGUGAUCUGCUUGCUGGCAUGAUGCACCUGCAGCAGCAGCUUGACCUGCUCGAUGGGCGCUACAGCUGUCUUGGAGAUGGGUGGGGCCACUCCACCCGCCAGGAAGUCCUUGGCGAAGGACACAGCAGCAUCUGUCAUGUUGAAAGGAAAGGGGAGGCAGGCUGCUUCAGGAAGGGACUGGGCCAGGAACCAGCUUUGACUCCAGGGCUGCUGGGCCUUUUUGGGGUUUUUCUGGAAGCUUCAUGACAACAGUAUUCCUUCCCCCCAGUACAGGGCAGGAUCCUCUCUUGGGAAGGUCUUAGGACCCGCAGUCAGAGAGGUGGGGAAACAUUCGAGUGGAAGGUGGGCAGGAGAAGGUCAGAGACUUGCCCCUGAGGCCCAACACACCCAACAUUAUAACGAAACACCAGAACAAGGGCUGUGGGAAUUAUGACCCAGGAACGUGGAUGAAAACCAACAAAUAUCAUAACAUCACAGCAAGGAGCACAGACAUUCAGACCACAGCAUACUCUUACAC
rnacentral:lncRNA from 1 species